rnacentral:lncRNA from 1 species
AUAAGCCCCUCUGUGUAUCAGCCCAUGCGCUUAUAUUAUUGCACAGGCAUUUAUUAACGCAGCGACUGGGAUUCCAACAGCUUAGACGAGUGACGAUGAUACAUUACAGCAUUACAAUAUGUUAGUAACCAACUUGUUUUAUUGUUAUAUACUGUAUGUUUAUGUUUCUUUUCAUUCACGGGAUAGUUUAUAGGUAUAAUGAAUAUUAUUACUAACAUCAAAUGUCGUCUGUAUAUAAGCUCCUCCAUCUCUAUGUAUAAACGACAUAAACCCAUAAAAAAAUGCAGUUACGAACGAAUAUAAAGUCCCGCAGGUUACCAAAGGCUCAGGAACCGAUAAAAAUGUGGCAUUUUGCAGGUCCUCCGCCUU